AACGAACGCUGGCGGCAUGCCUAACACAUGCAAGUCGAACGAGACCUUCGGGUCUAGUGGCGCACGGGUGCGUAACGCGUGGGAACCUGCCCUUAGGUUCGGAAUAACUCCCCGAAAGGGGUGCUAAUACCGGAUAAUGUCUUCGGACCAAAGAUUUAUCGCCUUUGGAUGGGCCCGCGUUGGAUUAGCUAGUUGGUAGGGUAAAAGCCUACCAAGGCGACGAUCCAUAGCUGGUCUGAGAGGAUGAUCAGCCACACUGGGACUGAGACACGGCCCAGACUCCCACGGGGGGCGAAAGGGGGAAAUAUUGGACAAGGGGGGAAAGCCUAGGCCAGCAAAGCGGGGUGAGGGAUGAAGGCGUAAGGGUUGAAAAGCUCUUUUCCCCGGGAUGAUAGACGGUAGCCCGGGAGAAAAACCCCGCGCAAUCCCCG
rnacentral:rRNA from 1 species